AUGUUACCAAGCAUAUAUUUUGUUUUUCUGAUCUCUUGCUCAGCCCUAGCAAAGAGUGAAGCUCUUUCAGUUUGGUGGGAUCCAGAGAUGCCUUCACAUUCUGAAACCUUAAACAGUUUGAUGGACGGCUAUGGAAAUGACUUACCGAAAAUUCGGCCAAACAUCAUCUUUUGUUGUGUGUGCCAAGAGGCUAUAAAGCGGGCUAAGACCGCAGUCUAUCAGAAGAUGCAACAGAAGAUAAACGAUGUCUGUAACAAAUUCAUAAAGGAUUUUCGAAACAUCUGCCUUCAACGUGCAGAGAGAUAUCGGGACAUCAUACUGCACAAGCUCUUCCCUGGUGGGAGCCCAAGGGGAACAUGUUUUAAGAUAAAGUUAUGCUCAUAA
rnacentral:lncRNA from 12 species